rnacentral:lncRNA from 1 species
ACGCUUCGCCAUCGACCUGCCCGCCAUGUACCGACCAAGCUUUAGCUCGAGCUCGGGAUAGCCGUCGACGUCGCUUCCCCGGUCACCUCCAGCCGCCUUCUUCAAGUCGGUCUGCCUCCCCGUCGUCCCCUUCGUCCGCUGCUUCCACUACAUCACCGAGGGAGACGCCAAGUUCCGCGCCUGGCUCUUCCUCUGCUUCCUCUACUUCACGGACAGCAGCCUCACCAAGUUCAGAGCUCCCUCUCGUCGCCUCCAGCACGUCUCCGUCGACCCCGUCGUGUCCUAGGGUGAGCUGGGUAACGCUCCUCCCUCUCCCAUCCAUCCCUUUGCAUGUAGGCACCUGUAGGACUCGUCCGAUCCAUGUCUUCGCCGCGCUCGCAGUGCUCCGACGAUCUCUGAAUUUUUUUGUGCGAAGUUGCUGUUCUACCGUAGCGUGCCCGAGAUGUUCCCCGCUCUGUAUACCCUCGCGUACCACGACCUGCUCGCACCCUCGCAGCAGAGCAGCGUCCCGCAGCCCAUGCUCGUGCCGCAGCUCGCCUUCGCUUCGCCUCGCUGGCACCUAGCCGCUAUGAACGCAAGUUCAUGUGUGCACACACCCACACAUGCGCCGCUGCACCCGCACUCCCUGGCCUAUCCCGCACCCCCGCCGGUACCCCUUGGCUCCGGUGGUCGUCGUCGUUGCUCGCAGGCACCGCCGGCGACAUCUCUGCUGCAGAUGAGAAGGGACCCGUACCCGCUUCAGGUUGCCUCAAGAGGAGCCGAGCCCCUACCAAACCAGCAGCCCUGUCCUAGCCCAACUGGUAGCACACCCGCGAUUCCAACCAGGAGACCUGGGUUCGAAUCCCAGGCUCUCCAUAGUUUUUGGUGGUUUUAUUCUUCCAUGAGACACUGACGCCUCGGCCCCACUGGUCAUACACACAUCCAGCCACGUGGCCCACGGCCCUACCAGUCAGUCUAACGGCUGGGUACAGCCUGGGUGCACCUAGCUUUCCCCGCAGGUUUUUCUGUUUUAUUCCAUUUCGGAAUAUGCCAGUUUUGGCAUAUGCCGAGGUUACCAUUUAGGGCAGGUUGUAUCUUAGUGCACUUGUGAUGAUUUUUCUAUAGCAACCCUAACAUAUUAUAUAUGUUUUUGAGGUAGAAAAAUCCCACCAAUCCAUUGGUGGCAUUAGUUUCUGCAUUUGAGCAAGUUCAUAAUCAUGCCAUCUCACUUCAUAUUGUUGUUUUGUCUCUUAUGUGCUUGUUCAUGCAAAUAUGCUAGUUGUUUGUUUUGCACAUGAGUAGCUUCUUUUUCAUGCCUUCGUCAUGCUAGUACUUGUUCCAUGCCAUGACAUGCCUGGUAGUGAGUUAAUCAAGCCUGUAGAGAUGCCAUGAUGAAUCUGUUUCUGCUAUGUCUAGUAAUUCCACUAAGUCUGUAGAACUGUUAUCUCUUGCAUUAUUGCCAUGUUAUUCUAGUCAUGCUCUAGUGGUUUUUAGUUUGAGCUCAGUGUUCAUGUUUCUUAGAGCAUCUCCUGUACAUCACUGCUGUGCAUCUUGUUCAUAUGUUUGGGUGCUAUAGCUUACUUAUACUUUGCAUCCAAGUGGCCAUGUUGCUGUCUGCAUCAUAUCUUGUCGUGCUUGUCAUUUGAAAACCGUGCACCCGAAUCCGGUGAUCUCUAUAUCGAUUCCAACCGAAAUCGUCUCAUCUUUCCAGCGGCAUACUUGGAUUGCCAAGUUAAUGCCUUGCUCUUCAUCUUUCCUUCCGAAGCACGCAUAUGCUUUGCAUAUCACAUCUCGCAUAGCAUGACAUGUAUUGCAUCAUGUUGCUUGUGCAUUGCAUCGUGAUUUAUUGUGGUUCCUUUGCUUGUGUUCUUGCUUUGGGUAGAGCCAGGAGACGAGUACGUGCAUGAGGAACCAGUUGAGAACGCUUACGAGGAUCAAGCCUUCGACAACUCUGAGAACCUUGCAGGCAAGAUGAUCAUACCUUCGAUAUCACUUCUAUCUCUGCUUGCUAGUACUCGCUCUAUCGCUAUGUUAGCUCUACCUGCCUUUGUUUACCAUGCCUACCUAUUGCCAUGUGAAACCUCUAACCAACCUGUCCUAGCAACCGUUGUUUGGCUAUGUCACCACUUUUGCUCAGCCCCUCUUAUAGCGUUGUUAGUUGCAGGUGACGAUGAAGUUUGUUCCUGGACGGAACAUGGAUAUUUUGGGAUAUCACAAUAUCUCCUGUUUAAAUUAAUGCACCAUAUAUAUUUGGUAAAGGGUGGAAGGCUCGGCCUUAUGCCUGGUGACUUGUUCCACUCUUGUCGCCCUAGUUUCCGUCAUACCGGUGUUAUGUUCCUUGAUUUUGCGUUCCUUACACGGUUGGGUGAUUUAUGGGACCCCCUUAAUAGUUCGCUUUGAAUAAAACUCCUCCAGCAAGGCCCAACCUUGGUUUUACCAUUUGCCACCUAAGCCCUUUUCCCUUGGGUUUUCGCGAGCCGAAGGGUCAUCUUUAUUUACCCCCCCCCCCGGGCCAGUGCUCCUCGUGAGUGUUGGUCCAACCUGUCAGCCGCCGGUGUCCACCAGGGGCAACUCUGGGCUGGCCUACCGGAAGUUUGGACGAUCCGGUGUGCCCUGAGAACGAGAUAUGCGCAGCUCCUAUCGGGAUUUGUCGGCGCAUCGGGUGGCUUUGCUGGUCUUGUUUUACCAUUGUCGAAAUGUUUUGCGAACCGGGAUUCCGAGACUGAUCGGGUCUUCCCGGGAGAAGGUCUAUUCCUUCGUUGACCGUGAGAGCUUGUGAUGGGCUGAGUUGGGACACCCCUGCAGGGUAUAUAAUCUUUUGAAAGCCGUGCCCGCGGUUAUGAGGCAGAUGGGAAUUUGUUAAUGUCCGGUUGUAGAUAACUUGACACUUGACCUCUUUAAAAUGCAUCAACCGCGUGUGUAGCCGUGAUGGUCUCUUCUCGGCGGAGUCCGGGAAGUGAACACGGUUUGUGUUAUGCUUGACGUAAGUAGUUUCAGGAUCACUUCUUGAUCGCUUCUAGUUUCUCGACCGACGCGUUGCUUCUCUUCUCGCUCUCACUUGCGUAUGUUAGCCACCAUAUAUGCUUAGUGCUUGCCGCAGCUCCACCAUAUUACCCCUUACCUACCUAUGAGCUUAAAUAGUAUUGAUCUCGCGGGUGUGAGAUUGCUAAGUCCUUGUGGCUCACAGAUUCUACCAAACAGAUGCAGGUGCCGAGGAUACUGGCGUAGAUGGCGCAACUGAGCUGAAGUGGGAAUUUGAUGAGGCCCUUGGUCGUUACUAUGUAUCGUUUCCAGAUGAUCAGUAGAGGAGCCCAGUCGGGGCGAUCGGGGAUCUAGCAUUUGGGGUUGUCUUCUUUUCAUUUUGAACUUGACCAUAGUCGGUCUAUGAGUGUAUUUGAAUGAUGUAUGAUCUAAUUUAUGUAUUGUGUGAAGUGGCAAUUGUAAGCCAACUCUCUUUAUCCCAUUCUUGUUCAUUACAUGGGAUUGUGUGAAGAUGACCCUUCUUGCAACAAAACCACCAUGCGGUUAUGCCUCUAAGUCGUGCUUCGACACGUGGGAGAUAUAGCCGCAUCGUGGGUGUUACAUGAUGCUACUGAAAAUUAUUAUGAGGGAGGAAUAUAUGCUUGUAGGAAUUGCAAUAAUAUCAAGUUUCCUCUCUAUGUGUCGAAAAUCUUGAAGUUAUGCUUGUUUUGCCUUCCUAUGCUAGUUAAUUCUUGUUCCCAUAAAUUGUUUG